CGCGCCUCGCCCCGCAGCCCCGCGUGCGCGCCCCCGCGGGCACGCCGCCCCGGGGUCUCCCCGCCCGCGCGGUCCCGCGGGGCUGGGGGCACCGCUUCGCGGGGACUCAUCAGCCUUCGGCUUCGCGCCCUGCGGCCCGGGCGCCUGAGUGAUUCCUGGCGCUUGGGGACGCCGACACGGGGUCACCCUGCAUGGACCCCAUCCCCCUACCCGGGGCAUGCCCUCUCUCAGAGCCAAAUGGGCCUGGUUGUACCCAGUGCCCGCGACAAGGGCCCAAGUGAAACGAGGCCUCCUGGGCCCCAUCCCAGUGUCUCUCUGUGCCUGUCUCUCCCCACCCCCCCCACCCCAGCCGGCCUUGGCAUUCUAACCAGUGUCCCUUGACGUCACAUCUCGCCAUCUCUGUCAACCAAUUAAAACUUGCCCGUUGUCAUAAAAAUAUAUAUACUUUUUAUGCCAUUGGUAAAUUCAAAAGUUCCUCGUGCGCCCUGCUUCCCAGGAAA
ensembl:lncRNA